rnacentral:miRNA from 1 species
CCUCGUUAUUACAUCGCUUGCUGUU